rnacentral:tRNA from 1 species
UGCCGGAUUGUGUAAAGGUAGCACCGCAGACUCUGACUCUGUUUGUAUGGGUUCGAAUCCUAUUCCGGCAGCCA